AGGAAAUUAGCUCAGUGGUAGAGCGACCGCUUUACACGUGGAAGGUCACUGGUUCGAUCCCAGUAUUUCUUA
rnacentral:tRNA from 1 species